rnacentral:rRNA from 1 species
GACGAACGCUGGCGGCGUGCUUAACACAUGCAAGUCGAACGGAAAGGCCCUGCUUGCAGGGUACUCGAGUGGCGAACGGGUGAGUAACACGUGGGUGAUCUGCCCUGCACUUCGGGAUAAGCCUGGGAAACUGGGUCUAAUACCGGAUAGGAGCCAUUCUUAGUGUGAUGGUUGGAAAGUUUUUUCGGUGUAGGAUGAGCUCGCGGCCUAUCAGCUUGUUGGUGGGGUAAUGGCCUACCAAGGCGGCGACGGGUAGCCGGCCUGAGAGGGUGGACGGCCACAUUGGGACUGGGAUACGGCCCAGACUCCUACGGGAGGCAGCAGUGGGGAAUAUUGCACAAUGGGCGCAAGCCUGAUGCAGCGACGCCGCGUGGGGGAUGACGGCCUUCGGGUUGUAAACUCCUUUCGCUAGGGACGAAGCUUUUUGUGACGGUACCUAGAUAAGAAGCACCGGCUAACUACGUG